rnacentral:rRNA from 1 species
AUUGAACGCUGGCGGCAGGCCUAACACAUGCCAGUCGAACGGUAACAGGAAACAGCUUGCUGUUUCGCUGACGAGUGGCGGACGGGUGAGUAAUGUCUGGGAAACUGCCUGAUGGAGGGGGAUAACUACUGGAAACGGUAGCUAAUACCGCAUAACGUCGCAAGACCAAAGAGGGGGACCUUCGGGCCUCUUGCCAUCGGAUGUGCCCAGAUGGGAUUAGCUAGUAGGUGGGGUAACGGCUCACCUAGGCGACGAUCCCUAGCUGGUCUGAGAGGAUGACCAGCCACACUGGAACUGAGACACGGUCCAGACUCCUACGGGAGGCGGCAGUGGGGAAUAUUGCACAAUGGGCGCAAGCCUGAUGCAGCCAUGCCGCGUGUAUGAAGAAGGCCUUCGGGUUGUAAAGUACUUUCAGCGGGGAGGAAGGGAGUAAAGUUAAUACCUUUACUCAUUGACGUUACCCGCAGAAGAAGCACCGGCUAACUCCGUG